AUUACCAACGUAAACAAUAUUUAUUGCUGAUCAAAUAAUAAUAAUAAUACAAGUGUUAACCAGGUGUUAAACCAGGUGUUAAACCAGCUGAUAAACCAGGUAUUAAACCAGGUGUUAAACCAGGUGUUAAACCAGGUGUUAAACCAGGUGUUAAACCAGGUAUUAAACCAGGUGUUAAACCAGGUGUUAAACCAGGUGUUAAACCAGGUAUUAAACCAGGUGUUAAACCAGGUGUUAAACCAGGCACUAAACCAGGUAUUAAACCAGGUGUUAAACCAGGUGUUAAACCAGGUAUUAAACCAGGUAUUAAACCAGGUAUUAAAUCAGGUGUUAAACCAGGUACUAAACCAGGUACUAAACCAGGUGUUAAACCAGGUACUAAACCAGGUACUAAACCAGGUACUAAACCAGGUACUAAACCAGGUGUUAAGGGUUACGU